rnacentral:lncRNA from 1 species
ACGCUUUGAGGUAUUAGAUUUUUUUUAGAAAUAAAUAUUAUAGAUUUUUAAGAUAAUAAAAAAUUAUAAGAAAUUAAAACUUUUUUUAUUUUUACAUUUUGAGAUAUUAAAUAAUAAAUAUUGGUCUGCACAAAACAUCUCAUAUUUAUGAAUAUUUAAAUAGUAAAAAUUUUUGAUAAUAAAAUUUUCUUUUACAUUAAAAAAAUAAAAAUAAAACACUAAAAAAAAUUCAAUUUUUAAAAAACGCAAUUUCUUGAGACGGUAAAUAAAUAUUUACACUAUCUAGUCGGACGAAAAUUUGUGUGUCAAAAUUUAUGAGGAAGACACACAUAUAAUAAAGAAAAUCCAUUUCAUUAUAGCAAAUUGCUAAUAAGAGGAUUUAUAUUGUGACAUGUUGCCGUUUCACAUGAAAUGAGCUUCUUUUUUUUUUGUCGAUACAUAGGGGAGCAAGAGCUCAAAGCAAAACGAAAGCAAAGCUGCAAAACGAAAACAAAGCUAUACAGCUAUGCUGACUCGUUGAGUCGCGUUGCUACAAAUUUCAUAGUCUAUCCAAAUCGAUAAACCAGGAGGAGGAGACUGCAAAUUAGUUUAAUGAUACCUUCAAAUUGCAGGCCAAGAAAGUAGGAGGGUCAUCAGAAAAACAUGAAAUACAAAAAAAGACACGUGUAAUAAUUUAUUACAGAGAAGAACACCAAUGUUCAAUAAAUUCUUGUACUAGUAGAAAUCAAAUAACUACUACAAAAGGGAGAGGUAUGAAUUGGUAGGGAAGUGAGGAGCCAUAAUUGUGGAAGCUGAUGAUGAUUUUGAUUUUCUUUUGGGUAGUUUGACAGGUUUAGAUACUUUCAUGGUGGAGAUAGUUACAUCUUCAGAAACUCGAGAGGAUGGAGAAGAAGAAUGGAAGCAACUAAACAAAGCUGAGAAGAUAUAUAGAUGUCAUUUUUUUUUUUUUUUUUU